rnacentral:rRNA from 1 species
UACGGAGGGUGCGAGCGUUGUCCGGAAUCACUGGGCGUAAAGGGCGCGUAGGUGGCGCAGGAAGUCAACGGUGAAAGUUCGGGGCUCAACCCUGAAUCGGCCGUCGAUACUCCUGGGCUCGAGCACUGUAGAGGCAGAUGGAAUUCCGGGUGUAGCGGUGGAAUGCGUAGAGAUCCGGAAGAACACCGGUGGCGAAGGCGGUCGCUGGGC